UCUUUUUUUCAUGUCCGACACUAAAACCCCUAAUUUUCUCCCCUAAAAUCAGUAUCCUCAAAACAACCCCAAUCUCCCCCCUCCGUUGCCCUUUUCAAUAAAGAAACUCUCCAAUAGCAGUGUCUCCGUUGUUUGGGUGUCUCUUGCUUCCCCGGCGCCGGAGGAAGAGGUGUGGCUGCUCUCCGGUCGAUUAGCAAAGGAGAGUUGCUUUUUAAAGUUCCAAAAUCUGCCAUAAUCACAACUGACUAUCUUCUUUCAAGAGAUGAAACUUUGUCUCUUGCACUCAAAGCCCAUCCUUCUCACUCUUCUACCCAGGCAGGUAUUCACUGUUUGUUUGUUAUAUGAAAUCAAUAAAGGAAAGGCUUCUCCAUGGCACCCUUAUUUUCUAUACUUGCCUCGUAGUUAUUCCAUACUCGCCGCUUUCGGUGAACUUGAAACGCAAGCUUUGCAAGUGGAUUAUGCCAUCUGGGCUACUCAGAAAGCUGUCACAAAAGCUAAAUACGAAUGGGAACAAGCCUUCACUCUCAUGAAGGAACUUAAGCUUAAGCCUCCACUUCUCACUUUCAGGGCUUGGAUUUGGGCUACUGGGACUGCACUAGAUUUGAAGCCAAACUAUGUGCGUGCUUGGGCAAACAUGGGUAUCAGUUACACCAACCAGGUUUGAGUUUUUGUUGGAUGCAUGGUCCAGGAUUAGUUGAAUUCAUGCAUAGUGGCGACUUGUUUGAGCUAAUUGCUGAUCUUAAAUGUCACGCUAGCUCGGGGUUUGAAGAUUGUCGGAGAUCCACUCACACUAUCAAUAAUUAUUUUGGUACCAAUGAAUUCAACAUUUUGAGUUAUGGCAUGUAUAAGGGACUUGGUCAUUUUAUUAUGUGUCAUAAUUGAUUUGGCCAAAUGUGUUGGCUUAUAUUGGUUAGUAAUUCAUUUUGUAUAAAGCCAUUGGAAAUGGGCUAAUAUUGGCUAUAAGUAUAUUUAUAAAAUGAUGCAUUUCAUGAA